rnacentral:rRNA from 1 species
CCUACGGGAGGCAGCAGUGGGGGAUAUUGCACAAUGGGGGGAACCCUGAUGCAGCGACGCCGCGUGGGUGAAGAAGCGCCUCGGCGCGUAAAGCCCUGUCAGCAGGGAAGUAAAUGACGGUACCUGUAGAAGAAGCCCUGGCUAACUACGUGCCAGCAGCCGCGGUAAUACGUAGGGGGCAAGCGUUAUCCGGAUUUACUGGGUGUAAAGGGGGCGCAGAUGGCGAUGCAAGCCAGGAGUGAAAGCCUGGGGCCCAACCCCGGGAGUGAACUUGGAACUGGGUGGCUGGAGUGCAGGAGGGGCAGGCGGAAUUCGUGGUGUAGCGGUGAAAUGCGUAGAUAUCAGGAGGAACACCGGUGGCGAAGGCGGCCUGCUGGACUGCAACUGACGUUGAGGCCCGAAAGCGUGGGUAGCAAACAGGAUUAGAUACCCGGGUAGUC